rnacentral:rRNA from 1 species
UAAAUUGAGAGUUUGAUCCUGGCUCAGGAUGAACGCUGGCGGCGUGCCUAAUACAUGCAAGUCGAACGGACUGUGGUGAUUAUGAUCGAAGAGCUUGCUCGGAGAGAUUAAUCACAAUGCAGUCAGUGGCGAACGGGUGAGUAACACGUGGGAAACCUACCUCUUAGCAGGGGAUAACAUUUGGAAACAGAUGCUAAUACCGUAUAACAAUUAGAACCGCAUGGUUCAAGUUUAAAAGAUGGUUCUGCUAUCACUAAGAGAUGGUCCCGCGGCGUAUUAGCUAGAUGGUGAGGUAAUGGCUCACCAUGGCAAUGAUACGUAGCCGAGUUGAGAGACUGAUCGGCCACAUUGGGACUGAGACACGGCCCAAACUCCUACGGGAGGCAGCAGUAGGGAAUCUUCCACAAUGGACGAAAGUCUGAUGGAGCAACGCCGCGUGUGUGAUGAAGGCUUUCGGGUCGUAAAACACUGUUAUAAGAGAAGAACGUCAGUGAGAGUAACUGUUCAUUGAGUGACGGUAUCUUAUCAGAAAGGGACGGCUAAAUACGUGCCAGCAGCCGCGGUAAUACGUAUGUCCCAAGCGUUAUCCGGAUUUAUUGGGCGUAAAGCGAGCGCAGGCGGUUAUUUAAGUCUGAUGUGAAAGCCUACGGCUCAACCGUAGAAUUGCAUCGGAAACUGGAUAACUUGAGUGCAGUAGAGGAGAGUGGAACUCCAUGUGUAGCGGUGAAAUGCGUAGAUAUAUGGAAGAACACCAGUGGCGAAGGCGGCUCUCUGGACUGUAACUGACGCUGAGGCUCGAAAGUGUGGGUAGCAAACGGGAUUAGAUACCCCGGUAGUCCACACCGUAAACGAUGAAUGCUAGUUGUUAGAGGGUUUCCGCCCUUUAGUGACGCAGCUAACGCAUUAAGCAUUCCGCCUGGGGAGUACGACCGCAAGGUUGAAACUCAAAGGAAUUGACGGGGGCCCGCACAAGCGGUGGAGCAUGUGGUUUAAUUCGAAGCAACGCGAAGAACCUUACCAGGUCUUGACAUCCCUUGACACUCCUAGAGAUAGGACGUUCCCUUCGGGGACAAGGUGACAGGUGGUGCAUGGUUGUCGUCAGCUCGUGUCGUGAGAUGUUGGGUUAAGUCCCGCAACGAGCGCAACCCUUAUUACUAGUUGCCAGCAUUAAGUUGGGCACUCUAGUGAGACUGCCGGUGACAAACCGGAGGAAGGUGGGGAUGACGUCAAAUCAUCAUGCCCCUUAUGACCUGGGCUACACACGUGCUACAAUGGAUGGUACAACGAGUCGCAAAGUCGCGAGGCUAAGCUAAUCUCUUAAAAGCCAUUCUCAGUCGGAUUGUAAGUCUGCAACUCGACUACAUGAAGUCGGAAUCGCUAGUAAUCGCGGAUCAGCACGCCGCGGUGAAUACGUUCCCGGGCCUUGUACACACGCCCGUCACACCAUGAGAGUUUGUAAACAACCCAAAGUCGUGGGUAACCUUCGGAGCCAGCCGCCUAAGGUGGGAUAGAUGAUUAGGGUGAAGUCGUAACAAGGUAGCCGUAGGAGAACCUGCGGCUGGAUCACCUCCUUUCUAAGGA